UCGGGAAUUUUGGGCAAUGGGCGAAAGCCUGACCCAGCAACGCCGCGUGAAGGAUGAAAUCCCUCGGGAUGUAAACUUCGCAAGAAUGGGAAGAAUAAGGAGGGGAUAAUACUCCCUUUGAUGACGGUACCAUUUGUAAGCUCCGGCUAACUCCGUGCCAGCAGCCGCGGUAAUACGGGGGGAGCAAGCGUUGUUCGGAUUUACUGGGCGUAAAGGGCGCGUAGGCGGCCGAACAAGUCACUUGUGAAAUCUCCGGGCUUAACUCGGAAAGGUCAAGUGAUACUGUUUGGCUAGAGUGCGGAAGGGGCAACUGGAAUUCUCGGUGUAGCGGUGAAAUGCGUAGAUAUCGAGAGGAACACCUGCGGCGAAGGCGGGUUACUGGGCCGACACUGACGCUGAGGCGCGAAAGCUAGGGGAGCGAACGG
rnacentral:rRNA from 1 species